AAGAACCUUACCUAGGUUUGACAUCAUGGGAAAAGCCGCAGAAAUGCGGUGUCCGAAAGGGCCCAUGACAGGUGGUGCAUGGCUGUCGUCAGCUCGUGUCGUGAGAUGUUGGGUUAAGUCCCGCAACGAGCGCAACCCUUGUCCUAUGUUGCCAGCGGUUCGGCCGGGGACUCAUAGGAGACUGCCGGGGACAACUCGGAGGAAGGUGAGGACGACGUCAAGUCAUCAUGCCCCUUACACCUAGGGCUGCACGCAUGCUACAAUGGUCGGUACAACGGGCUGCAAUCCAGCGAUGGUGAGCGAAUCCCUUAAAACCGGCCUCAGUUCGGAUUGGAGUCUGCAACUCGACUCCAUGAAGUCGGAGUCGCUAGUAAUCGCGGAUCAGCAAAGCCGCGGUGAAUGCGUUCUCGGGGAUUGUACACACCGCCCGUCACGUCACGAAAGUCGGCAACACCCGNAAGUCAGUGGCCCAACCGUAAGGAGGGAGCUGCCGAAGGUGGGGUCGGUAAUUGGGACGAAGUCGUAACAAGGUAACCGUAAGGGC
rnacentral:rRNA from 1 species